rnacentral:rRNA from 1 species
AUGGAGGGUGUGGUGAUUAGAUACCGGACUGUGGAGGUGAACGGCAUAUCGAUGCACGUGGCGGAAGCCGGCCCCGAGGUGGACGCCAAGGGGGCGGUGUUGUUCCUGCACGGCUUCCCGGAGCUGUGGUACUCGUGGCGCCAUCAGAUGGACCACUUGGGGGCUUGUGGUUACCGUUGCGUCGCGCCUGACCUCCGUGGCUAUGGUGGCAGCACUGCACCACCGGAUGUGGCCUCUUACACAGCCUUUCACAUAGUUGGUGAUCUUGUUGCGCUCCUCGACACCUUAGGGCUUGCGAAGGUGUUUGUGGUCCGGCAUGACUGGGGCGCGCUCAUCGCGUGGUACCUGUGCCUCUUCCGUCCGGAGUGUGUGACGGCACUCGUCAACACCAGCGUCGCCUUCAUGCGCCAUAUCAUGAUCCGCAAUGGGCCCGACUUCGUGAAUCCCAUCGAGUACUUCAACCGCGCAUACGGCCCCAACUACUACAAGUGCCGCUUCCAAGAGCCAGGUGUUGCGGAGAAGCAAUUCGCCCCGGCGCACGCCAAGCGCCUGAUGAGGCAAAUGUUGUGCCAUUGCUUUAGCCACGGCGUGUUCUGUGAUGAGGAGAUGGAUGACAACAAGUACCCAACAUCACCGCUUCUGCCUUGGCUCACCGAGGCAGACAUUGACUAUUUUGUCAACUACUAUCGCAAGUUUGACAAGAACUGCGAGCUGGUGGCACCGUGGGCAGAUGCCAAAGUGCAGGUGCCGACCAAGUACAUUGUGGGCGACGGUGACAUCACGUACAACUUUGAGGGGAUCCAGGAUUACAUCCAUGGUGGUGGGUUUAAGGAGGAUGUUCCGCUCCUAGAUGAGGUGGUCAUCAUCCCCGGCGCUGGCCACUUUAUCCAGCAGGAGAGGGCCCAGGAGGUCAACAACCAUAUCUAUGACUUCAUCAUCAAGUUCUGA